GAUGAACGCUGGCGGCGUGCCUAAUACAUGCAAGUCGAGCGAACGGACGAGAAGCUUGCUUCUCUGAUGUUAGCGGCGGACGGGUGAGUAACACGUGGAUAACCUACCUAUAAGACUGGGAUAACUUCGGGAAACCGGAGCUAAUACCGGAUAAUAUUUUGAACCGCAUGGUUCAAAAGUGAAAGACGGUCUUGCUGUCACUUAUAGAUGGAUCCGCGCUGCAUUAGCUAGUUGGUAAGGUAACGGCUUACCAAGGCAACGAUGCAUAGCCGACCUGAGAGGGUGAUCGGCCACACUGGAACUGAGACACGGUCCAGACUCCUACGGGAGGCAGCAGUAGGGAAUCGUCCGCAAUGGGCGAAAGCCUGACGGAGCAACGCCGCGUGAGUGAUGAAGGUCUUCGGAUCGUAAAACUCUGUUAUUAGGGAAGAACAUAUGUGUAAGGAACUGUGCACAUCUUGACGGUACCUAAUCAGAAAGCCACGGCUAACUAC
rnacentral:rRNA from 1 species